AAUGAACGCUGGCGGCAUGCCUAACACAUGCAAGUCGAACGAGACCUCCGGGUCUAGUGGCGUACGGGUGCGUCACGCGUGGGAACCUGCCCUUAGGUUCGGAAUAACUCCCCGAAUGGGGUGCUAAUACCGGAUAAUGUCUUCGAACCAAAGAUUUAUCGCCUUUGGAUGGGCCCGCGUUGGAUUAGCUAGUUGGUAGGGUAAAAGCCUACCAAGGCGACGAUCCAUAGCUGGUCUGAGAGGAUGAUCAGCGACACUGGGACUGAGACACGGCCCAGACUCCUACGGGAGGCGGGAGUGGGGGAUAUUGGACAGUGGGCGAAAGCCUGAUGCAGCAAUGCCGCGAAAAUGAUGAAGGCCUUAGGGUUGUAAAGUGCUUUUACCUGGGAUGAUAAUGACAGUACCGGGAGAAUAAGCCCCGGCUAACUCCGUG
rnacentral:rRNA from 1 species